AACGCUGGCGGCAUGCCUAAUACAUGCAAGUCGAACGGAAACGAUGGAAGCUUGCUUCCAGGCGUCGAGUGGCGGACGGGUGAGUAAUACUUAGGAAUCUGCCUAUUAGUGGGGGACAACUCGAGGAAACUCGAGCUAAUACCGCAUACGCCCUACGGGGGAAAGCGGGGGAUCUUCGGACCUCGCGCUAAUAGAUGAGCCUAAGCCGGAUUAGCUAGUUGGUGGGGUAAAGGCCUACCAAGGCGACGAUCCGUAGCUGGUCUGAGAGGACGAUCAGCCACACUGGGACUGAGACACGGCCCAGACUCCUACGGGAGGCAGCAGUAGGGAAUAUUAGACAAUGGGCGAAAGCCUGAUCUAGCAAUGCCGCGUGUGUGAAGAAGGCCUGAGGGUUGUAAAGCACUUUCAAUAGUGAAGAAAAGCUUAGGGUUAAUACCCUUGAGUGUUGACGUUAACUAUACAAGAAGCACCGG
rnacentral:rRNA from 1 species